CUUUCACUUUUCACUUUCAUGCAUUGGAGAAGGAAAUGGCAGCCCACUCCAGUGUUCUUGCCUGGAGAAUCCCAGGGACGGGGGAGACUGGUGGGCUGCCAUCUCUGGGGACGCACAGAGCUGGACAUGACUGAAGCGACUUAGCAGCAGCAGCAGCAGCAGCAGCAGCAGCACACCAUUUUAGGCUUCACAAAGAAACAUAAAAGACAAGUACCAGGGAAAGACAUGAUCCUGUGGAAUAAAAAGAUGAAAACCAGCCAUGACCACAUGAAAAUAAAAGAAGAUGAAGAUCAUUUCUUGAACAAUACCUUCCCAUCACCAGAGCUGGGGGAAGUGGAAAGAGACCAAAAACUGGAGGAAGUGACUCACGAAGAGCAGGUUGGCUCUAAGAACAGAAGGAGCAAGUGUUGCAAGAAGAGAGCUGACGCUCUGGUGAUAAAAUUGCAUUGAAAGAGAGGCCGCUGAUGGUUGAAGGUAAGAGUGAACAUUUAAAACCAAAACCUCUGGAUCUGUGAAUUGGGAUGGUGUCUUUUCAUAGAGACAGUUGUCACUCUGGUAUGGUUAUAAUAUGGAUCUUUGACUGUUCAUUUGCUGGUAAUGUAUCCAUUCUAUGCUGAGCCAAGCUCCAAACUUCUGUUCCUCUUUUUGUUCCUUUUUCAUUUUAUUCAUGUUCAUGCUCAUAAAGGUUUGGUUGGAUAAGAGCUUGUGAGACAUAGAAUUCACCAUCAUUUGUGAAUUCUUUGGAGGUAGUGAUCUUUCUCAUGAAGUCAGGGAUACUAAGCCCCUAUCACCCCAGUCCCAGAGCUUACUAGUAAAAUAGUUUAUGGAUACCUCUUGCUGUGGGCAGGAAGGAGGCUCUUCAAGGAAAGGAGUAGAAAGUCUAGUUUCUUUCAUGGAGGGUUGAUGGCUCAGAUGUGGAGAAGGAGGCUUUCUUGAACUCUGUCCAUCGGAGACCAGAUUUUGUCAGCCUGGUCUGAUGUGGCUGGAAGGAUAGAAGUGAGGCCUUAGUCAAAAAGGCUUACCUACUUCCCUGCAACUCUUGGUCCCCCAGCCUGGCCUCUGCCCAUUAGAAAGAAUUGAACUUAUAAUAAAGUUAUAGCAGAAAUAGAUAUUCAACAGUGUAGGCUUAUAUUACUUAAUGCCUUGGGUCUUGGGUUUUUUUAAUUGCAAAGUUAAUUUGAUACUGAAUUGGAACUAUUAUUCAUAGAGUCUCAUAUAUUCUUUGUGGUGCUUUUAUGUAUUUUAUAAAGUUUUUAUAGUCAAUAAUAUUACUUUGAAAAAAGUAAUAUUAAGACUGCAAAAAUAAAUUACAUAUAAUCCCUCAGGCUGCUAUAUCUAUUUCCAUUUUGAAGUGUUCUCUCUUUCAGUGUUUGUCAAUUUUGUGUGAUUCUGGAAAGCUUUAAAAAAGUCAUUUAUUGAGAUGAAAUUUACAUAACAUAAAAUCAACCAUUUUAAAAGUGAACAGUUCAGUGGUAUUAGUACAUUCUCGGUGUUGUGCAAUCAUGUUCAUCUAGUUCCAAAAGAUUUCUGUCUUAAUUAAGGAGAUGAUAGUCUGUAUUAAUCAGUAAAAUCUCUAACCGAGUAAACAGUUUUCCUGCAUUUCUCUGCAUUUCUCUCUUUUUCCAGCACCUAGAAACAACUAAUGCACAUUCUGUUUUUGUGGAUUUAUUUAUUCUAGAAUUUUAUAUAAAGUCAUGUGUUACAUGUAUUACAUGACUUUGUUUUGCAUACUGUUCUUGUAGGUGUACUCAUACUGUAGCAUGCAUGUAUCAGUACUUUUCACUGUUUAUGGCUGCAUAAUAUUCCAUUGUAAGGAUAUACCACCAUUUAUUUAUCUAUGGAUAUUUGGGUUAUUUCAACAUUUUGGGGUUGUGAAUAGUGUUGAUGUGAAUAUGUACAUCUAUGUUCUUGUUUCUCUGUUUUUCAAUUCUUUUGGUUCUAUGCCUAAUUUAUACUGAUAUUAACAUAAUUGCUGGAUUAUAGGAUGACUCUACUUUUAAGGUUUUGAGGAACAGCCAAACUGGUUUCUACUGUGGCUGAACCAUUAUGCCUUCUAGCCAAUAGUGUGCAAGGGGUUCAAUGUCUUCACACCCUUGGCAACACUUGUAAUUUCUGUUUGACAUACUUUUAACCAUUGUGAACAUGUCAUUUUAGGCAAUCAACUAAAGGCUGAGUUUUAAAAUUUGUAUUAACGUCUAGCAUUUGUGUGUAUUGGUGCAUUUGAUAUUACCUGGAUUGCCACUUCAGAGCAAUUUUGUCCCAUUAUCCUACUUUUUCUCAGAUCUUAUAAUUCAUCGCUGUUACUACAUUUGACCAUUUUGAGCCCAGGGCUUAUUGUUGGAGCAAAUUCUCUUGCACCUGACAGUGACCUCUGUAUUAGACCUGAGAGUUCAUAUAUGUUGGCCCCUGCUCUGCAUUUUGGCCAGCCGAACUUUCUUGAAGCAUGAGUUCAUAACCAAGCUCUGUCCUGAAAGCCAAGUAGCAGCAAUCACGUUUGGCUUGUACCAAAGCUCUGCUGAAAAUAGGCAUGUGUGUAUGAGGCAAAAGAGGGAACAAAGGGGGCAACAUCUUGGAGUGUGUGCUCUUCUUCAGCCUCACCCACAUGCCCACAUUUCAAGCUUCCACUGGUCACAGGAGUGAGAAGAAAUAAGACUGUUCAGUUGGGCCAACAGAGUUUGGGGACAGAGGGGGAGGCAAAGAUGGCCUUGUACCUACAGGAAUGGACAGGAUGAAAGGUGAUAAUGAUUACUUUAAGCUGGAUUUGCCUGCUGUAACUCAGCUGGUGAAUUAACUGAUCAGGGAAAACUGAAAGAAGGCCAAAUUCUCAACCUCAGUGUCAUUGCACUUUGUGCUGGAUAGCUGUGUG
rnacentral:lncRNA from 1 species